rnacentral:rRNA from 1 species
GACGAACGCUGGCGGCGUGCCUAAUACAUGCAAGUAGAACGCUGAAGGAGGAGCUUGCUUCUCUGGAUGAGUUGCGAACGGGUGAGUAACGCGUAGGUAACCUGCCUGGUAGCGGGGGAUAACUAUUGGAAACGAUAGCUAAUACCGCAUAAGAGUAGAUGUUGUAUGACAUUUACUUAAAAGGUGCAAUUGCAUCACUACCAGAUGGACCUGCGUUGUAUUAGCUAGUUGGUGAGGUAACGGCUCACCAAGGCAACGAUACAUAGCCGACCUGAGAGGGUGAUCGGCCACACUGGGACUGAGACACGGCCCAGACUCCUACGGGAGGCAGCAGUAGGGAAUCUUCGGCAAUGGACGGAAGUCUGACCGAGCAACGCCGCGUGAGUGAAGAAGGUUUUCGGAUCGUAAAGCUCUGUUGUAAGAGAAGAACGAGUGUGAGAGUGGAAAGUUCACACUGUGACGGUAUCUUACCAGAAAGGGACGGCUAACUACGUG